UACGAAGGGUGCAAGCGUUAAUCGGAAUUACUGGGCGUAAAGCGUGCGUAGGCGGUUUGUUAAGUCUGCUGUGAAAUCCCCGGGCUCAACCUGGGAAUGGCAGUGGAUACUGGCAAGCUAGAGUGUGUCAGAGGAUGGUGGAAUUCCCGGUGUAGCGGUGAAAUGCGUAGAGAUCGGGAGGAACACCGGUGGCGAAGGCGGCGAUCUGGGUCGAUACUGACGCUGAGGUGCGAAAGCGUGGGGAGCAAACAGGG
rnacentral:rRNA from 1 species